GCGACGACUGAACGCCGAAGAUGGAAUUACAAAUGAUUUCAACAAAGACAAUUUAGGUUUUUAAAAAGGAAGGUCCAGAACUACUACGGUACAGCUGUCACCCAGCCGGCAGGCGUCUUCUGCAAACCACGGCUACGAGAGCCGCCCGUCAGUAUACCCGCACGGUCCGUGUUUAUCGGACAUGGCGUUAUGAUUCCAGCACAAGCAUGGGCCUCCCUCCUCACAUCUAAGACAGACCCGAAGUUCCUCCGCAACAUUUGCUCUGCUGUGGGGGGCGAUGACGUCCUCAGGGAGAGAAGCGUGAAAGGCAUGAAGUGUAACACGGUGAAAGACGGCGUGGCAAAGCCUCCACUGAGCCCCCUGAAGCUUGCAGCUGCACGUGGUGCCUACUAUGAAUAUUUAAAGGUGGCCAACGAAAGUGGACGUCGAGAAGGAAGCAAAGCACCCCUUACUGACGCCGACUUCAACCGUGUUGUUUGCGACAAGAUACAGUACCUUUGAAAAAAAAGAUAAGAAGCUAAAUAAAUGUAUUCGUCUGUACUGUU